rnacentral:tRNA from 1 species
GUCGUUGUACCGAAGUGGUUAACGGGAUGGUCUCGAAUGUAGACAUGGCAACCAUUGGACUCUGUCCGCGCAGGUUCGAAUCCUGUCGACGACG